rnacentral:rRNA from 1 species
CUUUUCCUACGGGAGGCAGCAGUGGGGAAUUUUGGACAAUGGGCUUACGCCUGAACCAGCCAAGUCGCGUGGGGGAAGACUGCCCUAUGGGUUGUAAACCUCUUUUGUCAGGGAGCAAUUGGCGCUACGUGUAGCGUUAUCGAGAGUACCUGAAGAAAAAGCAUCGGCUAACUCCGUGCCAGCAGCCGCGGUAAUACGGAGGAUGCGAGCGUUAUCCGGAUUUAUUGGGUUUAAAGGGUGCGCAGGCGGACCAUCAAGUCAGCGGUAAAAUCGUGGGGCCCAACCCCAUCCCGCCGUUGAAACUG